GUGACUUUACCAUUAGGACCUGUGUUUUCUGGAAUGUAAGUGCAACAAGUCAUAGUGUCGGGAAGUAUUUUACAGACUCCCCCUUUUUCGGCUAAGAUCAUGUCUAAGGCCAGUCUGUUCUGGAAGGUCAUUUGGGAUGUGGCCUGUAAUUGCUCGGCCAAGCCCUGGAGGGCAUCCCUGGUGUAGUUCACGAAGCGCUGUUGGUUGUAAUAGAUAUAAUUAAUCCAAUUAAGGUUUUUGUUGGCAGUGACUAUGGUAAAAAGUGAUUCAAAACCUACAGCUACUUCAUCUCUAGCUUUAAAUUCAUUGGGUACCCCCCUAGGCACCCCAAUGGCAUCUAUGUAAAUGUGGGGGUCAAAACUGCCUUUUACUGGGGUUUCGCGCCUUACUCUGGCUGAUGUAUGUGGAGGGUCGUAUGUGUCAUGAUGAUUAUCAGAAAUAAUAUGAAUGGGCAUGAUAACUUUGGCCAGGGUACACUCACCCCACCACUCAGUUUCCAGCCUAGAUCUUAACUGUAGAUCCCCACAUAACCAGUAAAUAUCUCCCAAUGACCUGGUAUGGUGUUGCAACAGGCGUAUAGGAACAGUUCUGUAAGUGGCUCAAUAACCUUUAGAAAAAUUACCCAUGAAUUUACCAAUCCCGUCAUACAUGGCAUAACAAGUGUAAUUACCUCUAUAGACUGUGAUUCCAUCUGGUGGCUUAACAUUUUCAACUAAGAGAGGGUAUUCUGCCGUCCAUGCCAUGCAGAGGGACCUAUUAAAGUCAUAUUGGUAGGCAAAAGGCUUAAGAAGCAAUCUUCUAUCUCUAAAGGGAGAGUUAGGGGGACGGUGCCAAGGUGGGGUCGGGCACCGCCACAUACAUAACAUGCUGUUUUAUUAUGUUUGUUAGCAUUAUACCUCAUCCAUUCUAACCACAAAUUAAUGUAAUUGAAUCCAGUUUCAGCGGCCAUGGUA